UCGUACACUACUAUAAAUAGAGCUUUGUUAGCAUUACUAGAUCAGAAUCAAAACUCAAAUCAUUCAUUGAAUCAUGGCCAAGAUCAGUAUGUUCCUUAACUUCUUCUUGUUCUCCUUGAUUGACAUGCCUGCAACCUCAUCCGCGAGCAGGAUGCUACUCCAAAAUGAUUACAAACAUACAUGCCCACAAAUUGUUUGCAUAGGAAUAGUGUGCCCACCGCGACCUCCAAGACCGUGCCCGAGAAUCGGAUGCACAAAUGGUUCUUACACGCCGUGUUGUGGUUUCCCCACAUGCUGUCCUUCAGCUUGAUUAAUAAGAUCCUAGCCGUACCGCAUAUCAAUGGUAAAAUAUAUUCCAUCUUGUGUAUAAUGAAAAUUAGAUUUUGUGUCCGUGCUACGUCCGGGAAGCUUCUCAAACUUGGUUCACCAAUUCAAUCUACAACUACAAAUACAAUGCAUAAAUUCCUCUUUCUUUGACCA